CCUACGGGUGGCUGCAGUGGGGAAUAUCGCACAAUGGGCGCAAGCCUGAUGCAGCCAUGCCGCGUGUGUGAAGAAGGCCUUCGGGUUGUAAAGCACUUUCAGCGGGGAGGAAGGCGGUGAGGUUAAUAACCUCAUCGAUUGACGUUACCCGCAGAAGAAGCACCGGCUAACUCCGUGCCAGCAGCCGCGGUAAUACGGAGGGUGCAAGCGUUAAUCGGAAUUACUGGGCGUAAAGCGCUCGCAGGCGGUCUGUCAAGUCGGAUGUGAAAUCCCCGGGCUCAACCUGGGAACUGCAUUCGAAACUGGCAGGCUAGAGUCUUGUAGAGGGGGGUAGAAUUCCAGGUGUAGCGGUGAAAUGCGUAGAGAUCUGGAGGAAUACCGGUGGCGAAGGCGGCCCCCUGGACAAAGACUGACGCUCAGGUGCGAAAGCGUGGGGAGCAAACAGGAGUAGAUACCCGAGUAGUC
rnacentral:rRNA from 1 species